CUGAAGCCCUACAGCUCCACGAAAGAUUAGAGUAAAAUCUGCACUUCAAAAGAUCCUGUAUUCUUGCAAGAGAACAGAGCUCCUGAUCACCUGUGUGCGUCCUUUGAGUGGAUGGCAGCCGCAUCUCUGCAUUACGGCUAGUUAGAAUGAUGAGUCCUUGCUAUGCCUCAAGCACUGUUUCGAGUGUUUGAUGUCUAUUAUCUCACUUCAUCCUCACCAUGACCCCAUCCGAGAGACGAGGACUUGCUAUGUUGCCGGUUUGGUAUUGAACUCUUGGUCUCAAGUGAUUCUCCUGCCUUGGGUUCCCAAAGCGUUGGGACUGCAGAUGUCAGCCAUCACGCCUGGCCUUAUUCUUAAGAUUAUCUGAAUUCAAGCAAGGUACUGUAUUUCACAGCAUCACUGAAACAUAAAGAUGUAUCAUCUCGGGAUAAGAA